GUUUCAAAGUAACUCUAUAAUAGUGAUAAAAAAAAAUCAUUUCUUCAGUUGUUCAAACUAUACAUCAUUUAGUGUAGUAAUUGUCAAGCCUAAACACUUCGUUGACCUAUGGAGAAGAUUCUGAAGCAGUUCUCUGACAUGCUUUUUCGUUAUCUUCCCUUUCUUUGAUUAAACCUUUUCAAUGUUUCCUUUUCCGUCUCUGACACUGUUGUUGAGCCAUACAAUGCUACUCUCUCUGUGCAUCAGCUUGUCGAGAUUACUGACAAGUGUAUGGUUUUAGACAAUGAGGCUCUUUAGGAUAUCUGUUUCCGUACCUUGAAGCUUGCUCACCCUACCUUUGGUGAUUUAAACCACUUCAUCUCUGCUACAAUGAGUGGUGUUACUUCCUGUCUUCGUUUCCCUGGUCAACUAAACUCUGACCUUAGGAAGCUUGCUGUGAACCUUAUCCCCUUCCCAAGGCUUCACUUCGUCAUGGUUGGUUUCGCUCCAUUGACAUCGAGAGGAUCACGAGAUUUGCUUAUCCUAUGUUUUUAUUCUAUUCUUCGGUCUGUUUGUUACCGAUUUCUAGGUUAUAUCUUUAGGAGAAAUUGAUUCAAAAUCGAUUCAAGAAGUAAGCGUUUUUUCUGAAACCUAAGUUGUCGGGUAAGCCUCUAGAUCUUAUGCCCUUGUUCUGUUUUCCUCUUUUUGUUUUUACUUCUUGUUGAAUCAAUGUUUGUUUGAUUUUUGUCAACUCCUCCUUUACUCUGAUUCUGCUUCCUUCGUGAGUUUCCCCUUUGUAAGUGCGUUUCCCUUUGUAAGUGCGAUUAGUAUUUACUCUUUAGGGUUUUUUUGCUUUGAUUUGUUACCGGUUUUGCUAGUGAGUUGCCUUUAAUUUUUAGUUAGGUUUCAGCGUUUACGUUUUAGUUUGAUUUUUGUCAAAUCUUAUUUUUUUCGCUGCAGAUACAUGGAUAAGAAACUUAGUGAGAUUGACGCUUUAAGCCUCCAUCUAUCUCUCAACGAUUUUAAAUCAGUUGUCCAUUUAUGCCAAUUUGCAAAUCCACUGCUUAUAGCAUCUGAGGCUAGAAGUGUUGUGUGAGACGACUUGUGUCCAUCGAUCUCUUCCAAUUUUGGUUCUGUCUAGCUAAAAACUUGAGAUAUUUUUUGUUUGCUUCAAAAUUAGGGAGAGAUAGAAACAUGUAAUAAAUAUAUUGAUACAGUGGUGUCGAAUAAAUGAUAUAGGUUUGAUAUUAGUUGUGUUGUUGAGUCUUGAGAUAGAUUCCAGGGAGAUUUUUUUUAAGAACAAGGAAUAAGAUCCAUGUUUUUUUUCUUCAUAUUUUAGGGAGAUGUAUCCUUACUAGCUCAAGCAACAAUGCGGUGGGACAGUUUACUUCUAAGAUGAAUGGUAUGGUUAGUUUCCUUGUGAUUUUUAUCUUAAAGUGGUGAUUGUUGGUGUGGGUACGUGAAUUUUACUCAGCUAUUGAGAUCUGAUUGUGGGUUUAGAUUUGGGUGAUGCUAUUGAAUCUCUGUUUUAAGAAGUUCUUAUCUCUCUGUUUGAUGAUUGCCUUUUGCUUAUUAAAGUUGAUAUCUUCUUGCCAUUUAAUUAGUUGGAACGCUCUACUCACGAGUUGUUGUUUUUUAUCAGGUUUAAUCGCCCUUACCGGUUCGAAGAUUUACUCUGCUUCUUUCUCUUCUUCUCCUAGGUUAUCGUUUUUUUUCCAUAUAAUUCUUCUUAGUUGAGAUUGUUUGGAAUUUGAUCAUCUUUCUCUUGGUUAGAGUAUAAUUUUGGCGAUUAUGCUUUGUGAUUGGUUGAUUCAGCUUCGAUGGUUUUUAGCGUAGGUUUUGAUAUUUUUUGUGUUGUUUGCUUUGCCGAUUGAUUCUGAUUUAUUUUGUGUGAAUUAUCUUUUGCUAUGUGACUGUAAAAUCAUCUGCUCUUGCAUUUUUUUUGAUUCAGAAUUUUACGUUGAUGAAUUAUGAUUUUGAUAGGAUUGAGUGUAAUUCAGAAACUUUGAUUAGUCAUAAAUAUGGUGUAUCUUAAUUUAUAUACCUGGUAAAAGCUUGUUUUCACCCCUAGAAAUGUUUGUAUGCAUAAAACACUUGAUUUAUGCCAUCUAAUAUGCCUCUGUUUUACUUGCUCGCGGAAUAAUAAUUGGAGGCAUCACUUUACUGAACCAAUGAGCCUUGUAGCCAUGUGCUCCAAAUAAACUACUGCAGAAUUUAAGCAAGAGGAGCACGAGGAGGCACCAAAAUUCAAAAGAAAAUCCUUAGAAAAAGGUCUGAGUAAUGAGUUACGAUAUGGGUACUAAAGAAUCAUUUUUUUUUGUUGGAGUUUCUUCGAAUUGAGAUUGAUUAAAAUCUGUCUGAUCGUUUGCACUUUGCCUGAAAACUUGUCACGGUUAUCUCAAGCCAAAGUCAGUCAUUUAUCCCUCUCUCAAUCUAACUUGGUUAAAAUUUCACUAAGUGUUUAGAUCUACCUCCGUUCUUUAAGAAUGUUUGAUUUGCAACAGGAUAUUAGUAAAAAAUUAUUUGGUAUACACAUAAUUAUACAUA